rnacentral:rRNA from 1 species
GAUGAACGCUGGCGGCGUGCCUAAUACAUGCAAGUCGAGCGAACAGACUAGGAUCUUGCUCCUCUGACGGUAGCUGCGGACGGGUGAGUAACACUUGGAUAACCUACCUAUAAUACUGGGGGAACUUCGGGAAACCGGAGCUAAUACCGGAUAAUAUAUUUAACCGCAUGGUUCAAUAGUGAAAGACGGGUUUGCUGUCACUGAUAGAUGGAUCCGCGCCGCAUUAGCUAGUUGGUAAGGUAACGGCUUACCAAGGCAACGAUGCGUAGCCGACCUGAGAGGGUGAUUGCAUACACGGGAACUGAGACAGGGUCCAGACACCUACGCGAGGACGCAGUAGGGACUCUUCCGCAAUGGGCGAAAGCGUGACGGAGCAACGUCGCGUGAGUCAUGAAGGUGCUAGGCUCGUAAAACUAUGUAAUUAGGGAAGAACAAAUGUGUAAGUAACUAUGCACGUCUUGACGGUACCUAAUCAGAAAGCCACGGCUAACUCCGUG